rnacentral:rRNA from 1 species
GGGGGUCGCGAGAUCUACCAAACCUAACCAAACUCCGAAUACCAUCGAGUAUAGUCCGGGAGACAGACGGCGGGUGCUAAGGUCCGUCGUCGAGAGGGAAACAGCCCUGACCAACAGCUAAGGUCCCCAAAUCGUGUCUAAGUGGGAAAGCAUGUGGGAAUGCUUAGACAACCAGGAGGUUGGCUUAGAAGCAGCCAUCCUUUAAAGAAAGCGUAAUAGCUCACUGGUCUAAUAGAGAUCCUGCGCCGAAGAUGUAACGGGGCUCAAGAUACGUACCGAAGCUUUGGGUUGGACUUAGGUCCAGCGGUAGCGGAGCGUUCCGUAGGCCUGUGAAGGGGUUGGGGUGACCUGCCCUGGAGGUAUCGGAAGUGCGAAUGCUGACAUGAGUAGCGACAAACAGGGUGAGAAACCCUGUCGCCGAAAGUCCAAGGGUUCCUGCGCAAGGUUAAUCCGCGCAGGGUGAGCCGGCCCCUAAGGCGAGGGCGAGAGCCGUAGCUGAUGGGAACCAGUUGAAUAGUACUGGGCCUGCUAGAAGUGACGGAUGUGAGAUGUUGUUCCUGCUUAUCGGAUUGUGGGGGCUUUUGGAUCAUCCCGGGAAACAGCUCUAGCGUAUAGACCGUACCCUAAACCGACACAGGUGGACUGGUAGAGCAUACCAAGGCGCUUGAGAGAACGAUGCCGAAGGAACUAGGCAAAUUGCUCGCGUAACUUCGGGAUAAGCGAGACCCACGGGUGGGCAACCAUGCGUGGGUGGCACAGAGCAGGGGGUAGCGACUGUUUAGUAAAAACACAGGGCUGUGCGAAGUCGAGAGACGACGUAUACGGUCUGACGCCUGCCCGGUGCCGGAAGGUUAAGAGGAGGGGUGCAAGCUCUGAAUUGAAGCCCCGGUAAACGGCGGCCGUAACUAUAACGGUCCUAAGGUAGCGAAAUUCCUUGUCGGGUAAGUUCCGACCUGCACGAAUGGCGUAACGACUUCCCCACUGUCUCCGGUAUGGGCUCAGCGAAAUUGAAUUCCCCGUGAAGAUGCGGGGUACCCGCGGUCAGACGGAAAGACCCUAUGAACCUUUACUGCAGCUUUGCAGUGGCAUUAGGAGAGCGCUGUGUAGGAUAGGCGGGAGGCUAUGAAGCGUGGGCGCUAGCUUGCGUGGAGCCAUCCUUGAAAUACCGCCCUGUGCGCUUCUGAUGUCUAACCGCGUCCGGUCAUCCCGGACCGGGACCCUGCAUGGUGGGCAGUUUGACUGGGGCGGUCGCCUCCCAAAGUGUAACGGAGGCGCGCGAUGGUGGGCUCAGGCCGGUCGGACAUCGGCUGCUGAGUGCAAUGGCAUAAGCCCGCCUGACUGCGAGAGCGACAGUUCGAGCAGAGACGAAAGUCGGCCAUAGUGAUCCGGUGGUCCCGCGUGGAAGGGCCAUCGCUCAACGGAUAAAAGGUACUCUGGGGAUAACAGGCUGAUACCGCCCAAGAGUUCAUAUCGACGGCGGUGUUUGGCACCUCGAUGUCGGCUCAUCUCAUCCUGGGGCUGUAGCCGGUCCCAAGGGUAUGGCUGUUCGCCAUUUAAAGAGGUACGUGAGCUGGGUUUAAAACGUCGUGAGACAGUUUGGUCCCUAUCUUCCGUGGGCGCUGCAAGAUUGAGAGAGCCUGCUCCUAGUACGAGAGGACCGGAGUGGACGCACCUCUGGUGUAUCGGUUGUCACGCCAGUGGCAUUGCCGAGUAGCUAAGUGCGGAAGAGAUAACCGCUGAAAGCAUCUAAGCGGGAAACUUGCCUGAAGAUGAGAUAUCCCGGAGGUUUAACCUCCUUGAAGGGUCGUUCGAGACCAGGACGUUGAUAGGCUGGGUGUGGAAGCGCAGUAAUGCGUUAAGCUAACCAGUACUAAUUGCCCGUGAGGCUUGACCCU